rnacentral:tRNA from 1 species
GGUCGGUUAGCACAGUUGGUUUGAGCGUGGUGCUGAUAACACCAAGGUCACGGGUUCGAUCCCCGAUCGGUCCC